UAGCCGGCCUGAGAGGGCGACCGGCCACACAGGGACGGAGACACGGCCCAGACACCAACGGGAGGCAGCAGUAGGGAAUGUUCCACGAUGGGCGAAAGCCUGAUGGAGCAACGCCGCGUGCAGGAUGAAGGCCUUCGGGUCGCAAACAGCUUUUAAGUGAGAAGAAGAUGACGGUAACACAUGAAUAAGGGGCGGCUAAAAACGUGCCAGCAGCCGCGGUCACACGCAGGACCCAAGCGUUAUCCGGAAUUACUGGGCGCGAAAGAGUGCGCAAGAGGCACUGAAAGUGGAGCGUGAAAGCGAGCGGCUCAACCGCAUAACUGCGUUCCAAACUGCAGAGCUCGAGUAUGAGAGAGGUAGAUGGAAUUCCCAGUGUAGGAGUGAAAUCCGCAGAUAUUGGGAGGAACACCGAUGGCGUAGGCAGUCUACUGGCUCAUUACUGACACUAAGGCACGAAAGCGAGGGGAGCCAAACGGGACUAGAUACCCCGG
rnacentral:rRNA from 1 species